CUUCUCAUCGGUUUGGCAAUAACUCAAAGAAUCUCACUUGUGGAGAAAUCGUGGAAAAAUGUUGGUCAGACUCGUCUCGCGGUUCGUCCCUCCUCUCGCUCGGUUCAGUGCCAGUGCUUUUGUUUUUCCAGAGCUCCAUCUCUCCAACAGGAGGGUCAUCGGCUGGUCAGGUCCAAAUGAGAAAUAGUUGGCUCGUUCCGCUGGCGGCCACUCAAAUCCAGCCUUUUACUGUUUCUCCCACAGCGAGAGUCUCCUGUGAACGAUGCCAAAUCUGGAGAGUGGGACAUUUUCUGCAACUUCUGCCAAACCCAUUUGACCUAAAGUACCC